GGGCACAUGGUGUAGUUGGUUAUCACAUCCGCUUAGCAUUGAAUGCGCCUGCGGGGGGUGCUGGGUUCAAUUCCCAGUGUGUCCA